GGAAAACACAGAGUGAAAGACAGAGGGAGGUGGGGGGAGGAGGAAGUUGGAGAAAAGAAAAUCAAGAGUAAAACCACGAGCAGGAUCUCUACAGUGCCUCUAGUGAUUCUGUGUUCCCAGCACUAUCACAGAUAAAGAGAGGAAGGGUGAGAGAGACAGAGAGGGAGAGCGUGGUGAAGACUCGGAAGAAUAAGGGUCAGUACAGGGUUUGUCUUUGAAAGGAGAGGAGCAAUUUCUGCAUGUGUGAGAGGGAUCUGUGCAUGUGUUUUGUUUGCUCAUACUAAUAGUUAAGGCCAUUCUUUCACCGUGUGCACAGAGGACAUAUCAAAAAUAAGCCACCGCCAUGAGCCGGACCACCUUCUUUGAGGUGGAAGUUCUUGAUGCCAAGACAAGGGAGCAGCUUUGUUUUCUAGACAAGGUGGAGCCCCACUCGACAGUAGGAGACAUAAAGAGCCUUUUUCACAAAUCAUGUGAGUGCCUAUAGUAAUGUAGCGCACAAAUGAGCCUGUUUAGAUUUGUUAGAAGCACACGUGGCUGUAAUUUUGUUAGUCUUGCUGUUACCUAGAACCCUGUCAAUAAAUAGAACAAGACUUGAGUUAUACUAAAAUUCAAUAAAACACAGAAGAUCAGUGCUCCUAGUUCUUUAUUAUCUUUCACUGCAUGUUUACUGUAAACAAAUCCUUCAACUUGUGGUUAUUGGAUAAAAAAACAUUAUUACACUAUCUCUGAAUGAAAAAUCUUACAGUUCCUCCUAUUAAAUCUCUUCACCAGAGAGCUGUCCUUUUAAAAAACUAUUUUUUAUUUACUUCUCUGAAGCCCACAGUGCUUCUGUCAUCAGCAUGUGUCUGGUCAGAAACGUUACCAAAUGUCUGCUGAGCCCAAGGCCAUCGGCAUCUAUCAGAGUAGCAGAGCUCAACGUUAUUCCAUUGUGAUCAAUUAUUUUUGGGCCUGAGGCCAAAAAAUUGUGUGUGCGGUACCAGCUAUGUCCAACACUGCGACUGUGUUUGUGUGUGCAUACGUGCUCGUUUGAUCGGCACAGAUCCUCACUGGUAUCCAGCAAGACAGGCCCUGAAGCUUGAUCCAAGUAAGUGGCUGUGUUGUAAAUCUAGCAUUUAGUGUGUGUGUGUGUGUGUGUGUGUG